GAAAGGAGGAAUCCAGUGGCGGCUGGGCAUGCGGCGCAUUAGCUUGACGGCGGGGUAACGGCCCACCGUGGCGACGAUGCGUAGGGGUUCUGAGAGGAAGGCCCCCCACACUGGAACUGAGACACGGUCCAGACUCCUACGGGAGGCAGCAGUGAGGAAUAUUGGUCAAUGGGCGGAAGCCUGAACCAGCCAAGUCGCGUGAGGGAAUAAGGCCCUACGGGUCGUAAACCUCUUUUGCCGGGGAGCAAGGGCCGGGACGCGUCCCGGCCCGGAGAGUACCCGGAGAAAAAGCAUCGGCUAACUCCGUGCCAGCAGCCGCGGUAAUACGGAGGAUGCGAGCGUUAUCCGGAUUUAUUGGGUUUAAAGGGUGCGUAGGCGGGCUUUUAAGUCAGCGGUAAAAAUUCGGGGCUCAACCCCGUCCGGCCGUUGAAACUGGGGGCCUUGAGUGGGCGAGAAGAAGGCGGAAUGCGUGGUGUAGCGGUGAAAUGCAUAGAUAUCACGCAGAACCCCGAUUGCGAAGGCAGCCUUCCGGCGCCCUACUGACGCUGAGGCACGAAAGUGCGGGGAUCGAACAGGAUUAGAUACCCUGGUAGUCCGCACAGUAAACGAUGGAUGCCAGCUGUCCGGGCCGAAUGGGGCCUGG
rnacentral:rRNA from 1 species